rnacentral:lncRNA from 1 species
GGAAAAACAGGGUGUGUGCUGGAGAGAAGGUUGGACCUAGAUGUUGCUGUGCUACCAUGAUGCUCCAUGAGUGAGGAUAUUCUGGUCCCUGUAGUCACUAAAGCGCCCCUGGGCAGCAUCAGGAUGGCGCAGCAAAGACUCUGGCACGCUCUGUUCUGGCCUUUCUCAGAAACAGUUGCUGGCAAUGAAAAAAUAAGAUGCUGCCCAGGCCACCUCUGCUGGGAAAGCUUUAUGUUGUGCAAGAAGGGCUCAGAUUUGGCAGAGAGAAUUGGUGAGUCUGCAGGGAGACAUCUGAAGGAUCGCAGUAUGUCCCAUGUACCUAUGAUACAGUAUUUAUGCCAUUACUCCAAUUCAGGUCUUUAGCUCUCCCUUCUUGUUUCCCAUGCUGGCUCAUGCUGACCUGUUCCCCUGUAGACAGUAUGGGCAUAACUGCUUUACCAUGGCCAAAUCAAGACAAG